AGUCGAGGGGUAGAAGUCUUCGGACUUUGAGACCGGCGCACGGGUGCGUAACGCGUAUGCAAUCUACCUUUUACAGAGGGAUAGCCCAGAGAAAUUUGGAUUAAUACCUCAUAGUAUAUAGACCUGGCAUCGGGAUUAUAUUAAAGUCACAACGGUAAAAGAUGAGCAUGCGUCCCAUUAGCUAGUUGGUAAGGUAACGGCUUACCAAGGCUACGAUGGGUAGGGGUCCUGAGAGGGAGAUCCCCCACACUGGUACUGAGACACGGACCAGACUCCUACGGGAGGCAGCAGUGAGGAAUAUUGGACAAUGGGCGCAAGCCUGAUCCAGCCAUGCCGCGUGCAGGAUGACGGUCCUAUGGAUUGUAAACUGCUUUUAUACGAGAAGAAACACUGAUUCGUGAAUCAGCUUGACGGUAUCGUAAGAAUAAGGAUCGGCUAACUCCGUGCCAGCAGCCGCGGUAAUACGGAGGAUCCAAGCGUUAUCCGGAAUCAUUGGGUUUAAAGGGUCCGUAGGCGGUUUAAUAAGUCAGUGGUGAAAGCCCAUCGCUCAACGGUGGAACGGCCAUUGAUACUGUUAGACUUGAAUUAUUAGGAAGUAACUAGAAUAUGUAGUGUAGCGGUGAAAUGCUUAGAGAUUACAUGGAAUACCAAUUGCGAAGGCAGGUUACUACUAAUGGAUUGACGCUGAUGGACGAAAGCGUGGGUAGCGAACAGGAUUAGAUACCCUGGUAGUCCACGCCGUAAACGAUGGAUACUAGCUGUUGGAAGCAAUUUCAGUGGCUAAGCGAAAGUGAUAAGUAUCCCACCUGGGG
rnacentral:rRNA from 1 species